AGAAGCUUAGAUUAAUCAUAAACCAUGGGCCUUCAAAGCCCAAGAUAAGAGUGCAAAACUCUUAGCUUCUG
rnacentral:tRNA from 1 species